rnacentral:rRNA from 1 species
GCCCAGACUCCUACAGGAGGCAGCAGUGGCGAAUAUUGCGCAAUGGGCGCAAGCCUGAUGCAGCGACGCCGCGUGAGGGAUGACGGCCUUCGGGUCGUAAACCUCUUUCGCCAGGGACGAAGCCUUUUGGGGUGACGGUACCUGGAGAAGAAGCACCGGCUAACUACGUGCCAGCAGCCGCGGUAAUACGUAGGGUGCGAGCGCUGUCCGGAAUUAUUGGGCGUAAAGAGCUCGUAGGCGGUUUGUCGCGUCGGCCGUGGAAACUGGAGGCUUAACCUUCAGCGUGCGGUCGAUACGGGCAGACUUGAGUUCGGUAGGGGAGUCUGGAAUUCCUGGUGUAGCGGUGAAAUGCGCAGAUAUCAGGAGGAACACCGGUGGCGAAGGCGGGACUCUGGGCCGAUACUGACGCUGAGGAGCGAAAGCGUGGGGAGCGAACAGGAUUAGAUACCCUGGUAGUCCACGCUGUAAACGUUGGCGCUAGGCGUGGGUGACAUUCCACGUUGUCCGUGCCGUAGCUAACGCAUUAAGCGCCCCGCCUGGGGAGUACGG